rnacentral:ribozyme from 1 species
CCCUCACCAGCGUGCAGCUGUCCGCCGCAUGCUGGCGCUGGAGACCAGGGGCUAUGGCACAACAAAG